GGUUUUUUGGUAUUAUAUAAAAAAUCUAGCCUGCCCUAUGAUAAAUUAAAUGGCCGCGGUAAUUUGACCGUGCGAAGGUAGCAUAAUCAAUUGUCUAUUAAUUGUAGACUGGAAUGAAUGGUUGAACUUGAAAUUAGUUGUCUUUAUAUUAAGUUGAAUUUUGUAUUUUUAUGAAGAUUUAAAAAUGGAUUUAUUAGACGAGAAGACCCUAUUGAGCUUUAUAUUUAUUAUUUGUAUUUAAGAUUAGUGGUGUGUAUAGAUUAAAAUAUUUUGCUGGGGCGGUAUAUAAUAAUUAAAACAUUAUAAAAAAUUAUAUUUUAUUUAAGAAAUUUGAUCCAAUAAUAUUGAUUAAUAGAUUAAGUUACUGUAGGGAUAACAGCGUAAUAUUAUUUAGGAGUUCGUAUCUAUAAUAAAGAUUGCGACCUCGAUGUUGGUUUAGGAUUCCUUUAAAAAAAUUAAGUAUAUGGUGAAGAAAUUAUAAAAGGUAGUCUGUUCGACUAUUAAAUUCCUAUA
rnacentral:rRNA from 1 species